rnacentral:lncRNA from 1 species
GACAACAUUCUACAUAAUGUAACAAAGAAGUCUGAAAAUGUGAAUCAUCUGCAAACUAUGCAUUCAUCUUGCAGACCUUCACUCUGAGAGAUAUUUUUCCCUAAAUCGAUUUGAUGUUCUCUAUCACCAAGGUCAGUGUUAUAUCUCUUACUGUACUUUUCUCCGUGUU